rnacentral:rRNA from 1 species
UACGGGGGGGGCAAGCGUUGUUCGGAAUUACUGGGCGUAAAGGGCGUCGUAGGCGGCCAACUAAGUCAGACGUGAAAUCCCUCGGCUUAACCGGGAACUGCGUCUGAUACUGGAUGGCUUGAGAUUGGGAGAGGGAUGCGGAAUUCCAGGUGUAGCGGUGAAAUGCGUAGAUAUCUGGAGGAACACCGGUGGCGAAGGCGGCAUCCUGGACCAACACUGACGCUGAGGAGCGAAAGCCAGGGAGCAAACGGG